UAGAAACAUAGAAUGUGACGGCAGAUAAGAACCAUUCGGCCCAUCUAGUCUGCCCAAUUUUCUAAAAACUUUCAUUAGUCUCUAGCCUUAUCUUAUAGUUAGGAUAGCCUUAUGCCUAUCCCAUGCAUGCUUAAACUCCUUUACUGUGUUAACCUCUACCACUUCAGCUGGAAGGCUAUUCCAUGCAUCCACUACCCUCUCAGUAAAGUAAUACUUCCUGAUAGAA